rnacentral:ncRNA from 1 species
GCUGUCAAAUGAACAGGCCUCCGGGAGCCGGGCCGCGGCAAGCGGCAGCAGAAGCAUAUCGUCUGCGGGACAGGA